rnacentral:rRNA from 1 species
AGUGGCGGACGGGUGAGUAACGCGUGGGUAACCUGCCCUCAGUACAGGGGGAUAACAGUUAGAAAUGACUGCUAACACCGCAUAACUAUAGUGAAACCGCAUGAUUUUGCUAUCAAAUAUUUAUAGGUAUGAGAUGGGCCCGCGUCUGAUUAGCUAGUUGGUGGGGUAAAAGCCUACCAAGGCGACGAUCAGUAGCCGGCUUGAGAGAGUGACCGGCCACAUGGGACUGAGACACGGCCCAAACUCCUACGGGAGGCAGCAGUGGGGAAUAUUGGACAAUGGGGGAAACCCUGAUCCAGCGAACCGGCCGCGUGAGUGAAGAAGUAUUUCGGUAUGUAAAGCUCUAUCAGCAGGGAAGAUAAUGACAGUACCUGACUAAGAAGCCCCGGCUAACUACGUGCCAGCCGCUGC